AAUACAUUUUUUGUGCUAAUUUUUAUGUGAUUAAGAUUUAAUUGAUUUCGUAUAUAAAAUAUUAAAUUGUUUUACGAACUUAUUUGUUUAUAAUUUGGUAACAGAUAGAUAUUUGAAUAUUCAGAUCUUUGAUGACCCGUCUUUAGAUCCAAUAAACCCUAUAAUCUAGUUAUUAACCUGCAGUAUACCGCAGGUAGGCUUAUACUUUAGUUAAACUAAAAACUUUUAUUGUAAAGAUGAUUUAAAUAUAUAUGAUAUUAUUUUAUUUGAUUUUAAAUGUAUAGUAAACUGUGAGUUGUAUAUGUUUUGUUGAUAUUAUCUAUAUUGUUUAGUGUUUAAGAUUAUACACUUGUAGUUUGGUUGUUAAUUUAAGAGUUUCACCUGUAGUAUAUCAUCUUGUAUUAAUAUCGAUCUAAAUCCGUCCAUUUUACGAUUUUCCAGCUUGUAUUAAAAAUUGAAUCACAUCUAAUAUGUUAUUAAUUACUGUAGUAUAUAAGAUUAUAAAUUUUCAAUAUAAUAUGUGUGAAAUUGAAUAGAACUAUUUCAAAUUAUGAUUCGUUACUCAGUAGAAAGUUUUCUUAAAUCUAUUUUUCUCCCGUUAUAAUAUUUUUUCAUGUAUUGAACAGUUUAUAUUCGUUUUUAAAAAUUUAAAUUAUGGCAUAUGCGAAAAAAACUCUAAUUAUUUG
rnacentral:sRNA from 1 species